UACGGGGGGGGCAAGCGUUGUUCGGAAUUACUGGGCGUAAAGGGCUCGUAGGCGGCCAACUAAGUCGGAUGUGAAAGCCCUGGGCUCAACCUAGGAAGUGCACUUGAAACUACAGAGCUGGAGAUCUGGAGAGGAAGGCGGAAUUCUCGGUGUAGAGGUGAAAUUCGUAGAUAUCGAGAGGAACACCGGUGGCGAAGGCGGCCUGCUGGACAGCAUCUGACGCUGAGACGCGAAAGCGUGGGGAGCAAACAGG
rnacentral:rRNA from 1 species